AACAGCCCCGGCCGCCUGCAGCCAGCGCCGCCUUCCGACCGGGUGACCCCAGCUCGCGCCACGCGCCGCGGCGCACAGGGUCUUGCUAAGUUGCUCCAGCUGGGCUCAAUCCUCCUGCCUUAGCCUCCAGAGUGCCAGGAUCAGAGGCAUGCACCACCACGACCAGCUGCAGGACCAAUGUGGGGGAAGACUUACGGUGCUGAUGCGCAAAGAAGCCUUCAAAGAUCACAAAGUUGUUCACCUAGAAGAAGCAGCAGCAGAUGAGACAGAGUUGGCCACUCACCCACUUGACACUUACCUGAGUAUGGAACCUGUGCCAGAAAAGCCAGAGCGGAAGGGACAAACCCUUGUGACAGGCCCAAGCCCAACAAGCUGCUCCUAAAAUUCAGACACAAUAGACAAGGGCCCUUUUCUUUUUUUCAGUGCUGGGGAUGAAACAGGGCCUCGCACAUGCUGGGCACACACUACCACUGAGCUACACCUCUAGGCCCAAGCAAAUGUUUCUUAAAUAUGAUGCCAAAAGUAAAGGAAGAGAAGAAAAACAGAUGAAUUGGAUCUCAUCAAAAUUAAAAACAAAAGUAGCAAGGACCUGAGAUCGAUCCCCAGUACCAAAAAGAAAAGUAAAAUUUUUAGGCUUCAAACACACUGUCAAGGAAAGGUGACCCAGCUUAUCAGGGACCCUUGGGCAGAAGGACUGCCAGUUCAAGGCCACCCUGGGCAGUUUAGCAAGAUCCUGUCUCAAAGUUAAAAAUAAA